rnacentral:rRNA from 1 species
AGAGUUUGAUCAUGGCUCAGGAUGAACGCUGGCGGCGUGCCUAACACAUGCAAGUCGAACGUGAAGCCAUAAAUGAUUACUUCGGUUUGAUUUUUUGGUGGAAAGUGGCGAACGGGUGAGUAACACGUGGGUAAUCUGCCUCGAAGUGGGGGAUAACUAUUGGAAACGAUAGCUAAUACCGCAUAGUCUUUUUUACAUGGGAAUGUAGAAGAGUAAAGCUCCGGCGCUUCGAGAGGAGCCUGCGUCCAAUUAGCUAGUUGGUGGGGUAAAGGCCCACCAAGGCGACGAUUGGUAGCUGGUCUGAGAGGACGAUCAGUCACACGGGAACUGAGACACGGUCCCGACUCCUACGGGGGGCAGCAGUGAGGAAUAUUGCACAAUGGGGGAAACCCUGAUGCAGCAACGCCGCGUGGAGGAUGAAGGCUUCGGUCGUAAACUCCUUUUCUGGGGGAAGAGAACGGACGGUACCCCAGGAAUAAGUCACGGCUAACUACGUGCCAGCAGCCGCGGUAAUACGUAGGUGGCGAGCGUUAUCCGGAAUUACUGGGCGUAAAGCGCGCGCAGGCGGUUAAAUAAGUUUGGCGUGAAAGCUCCCGGCUUAACUGGGAGAGGUCGUUGAAAACUGUUUAACUUGAGGCAAUGAGAGGGGUACGGAAUUCCAGGUGUAGUGGUGGAAUGCGUAGAUAUCUGGAGGAACACCAGUGGCGAAAGCGGUACCCUGGCAUUGACCUGACGCUCAUGUGCGAAAGCGUGGGGAGCGAACGGGAUUAGAUACCCUGGUAGU